rnacentral:rRNA from 1 species
UAGGGAAUCUUCCGCAAUGGACGCAAGUCUGACGGAGCAACGCCGCGUGAGUGAAGAAGGAUUUCGGUUCGUAAAACUCUGUUGUUAGAGAAGAACAGCGCAUAGAGUAACUGUUAUGCGUGUGGCGGUAUCUAACCAGAAAGCCACGGCUAACUACGUGCCAGCAGCCGCGGUAAUACGUAGGUGGCAAGCGUUGUCCGGAUUUAUUGGGCGUAAAGCGAGCGCAGGCGGUCAAUUAAGUCUGAUGUGAAAGCCCCCGGCUCAACCGGGGAGGGCCAUUGGAAACUGGUUGACUUGAGUGCAGAAGAGGAGAGUGGAAUUCCAUGUGUAGCGGUGAAAUGCGUAGAUAUAUGGAGGAACACCGGUGGCGAAAGCGGCUCUCUGGUCUGUAACUGACGCUGAGGCUCGAAAGCGUGGGGAGCGAACAGG